GUACAGGACUCCAGGUUGUCCCAGUAAUCCGUGUCAGAACAAUGGGUCUUGUAUGGAUACAGAUUCCGGUUAUGUCUGUGUGUGUUCAGAACCGUGGACUGGAAACAACUGUGAAAAUGACGUUACGACCACCACCAUAGAACCGAUACCAAUUAACAUACCAAAACAUUCGAUUCCAAACUUUGAUGCCAAAAAGGAUUCUAAUUCAACAGGCAAGAAUCACUGGUAUAUAAUAGUAAUUGCGAUAGUUGUAACGGCGCUUGUGGCAGUUCUUCUUAUUAUUUGUGUCAUUUGGGGUAG